rnacentral:lncRNA from 1 species
CAGCGCCAGCCUGACUGAGGAACAGGGCAGAGGAAGGUGACCCAAGAAUGGGGGCCUUUUUGGAGCAACUGGCUUAGUUAACUGGGAAUGUUUCCAGUUUCUCUUCAGGGACUGGCUGGGAUGAAGACACCGAGCCUCCUGCCCAGCCUGCCGGGCACAGGGCGAGGUUGGCCGGAGAAAGGAGAGAGGCCACAGAUACCCUGCAGAGAAGACACAAUUUUGAACAGGAGGAUUCAAGCAAUAGCUUCCUCAUCAAGAUCAAGCCUGGAAAGCCCCAGAGAAGGUGAAAGAGAUGUAUUCAGCGGGAAGCAGGAGCUGCUGUAAACGGCCACCUGGUUUGCGAAGAGAUUCAAGUACUUUAGAAUGGGACUGGCUACCUUCAUCCCCGAACAGGAACUGCUGCAAGGCCUGCUGCAGCCAUGGGCGAGCGGCUCUGGAGAUGGGUAAGUGGUCCAUGCACCCCAG